AUGACUGCAAAGACCCUCAGAAACAAGGGGGCAACUGACUGCACAGGAGGCCCGACUAGGGAGCAGAGUGCCAUACAUAGAAAGACCAAGGUUACAAGUGGGAGUAAUGGCCGAAAACCAAAAGGCUUUGGUAGGUUUAACGAAGGCAUAAAAAGGAUGUUGAAACUUGAGGCAGCUGAGAAGGCGCUGUCUGAUGCCGUGGAGAAAGAAUGUCUUGCUGAGGAGAAAUAUUAUUGCGGACUUCAUGAUCGACCUAAAUCAUACACUACUUUUGAUGAGAAACAAUUUGGCAAUCUAGACGAUCCUGUCGCUCGAGAUUUUCCUUGCAGUGUCGUCUCACUUGCUUUAUUUGAUGGAGAUACAAUGUUAUUUGCAUGCUCCGGCAUACCUCUACCACCCGGGAGAGCUAAACUUCCCCUUACAAGAUAUGUGACAUCAGAACGUUUGGUUAGAGUAUAUCAGGGAUAUAUGUAUAGAGAUGAUAAAUUGAGGAUUGUAGUGCGCCUUCCUAAUGAUGAAAAAGUUGGCGGCCUUUUGGAGCUAUAUAAUAGCCACAUUGCUAUCGUCACGUGCUUGAGCCUCCAAGCUGUCAAACCUCUGGAUCUUAUUCAGGCUUCUACUCCUACCUCUUCUUCUGAUGAGAUGAUAGCUGCUGGGCGUGCCUUCCAGUCGGGCUGUUUGAUGUCCGCAAAGGUAAAGCCAGUUCCGGUCUCUCAGAAAGAUCUCAGUGGCUGGAAAAUUGUCAACGUCUAUAAAUGUGGGCCAGAGGCUGUACUUGGAGGGCCAGUUAUAGGAAACGAUAACAGAAUUAUUGGCAUAAACUUUGAUGUUCAUGGUGCUUUUUCUCCUGAUGCGGAAAAUCUCUGUGUAUUGUUUGUUCCUCUGGAUUCACUGUACACAUACUUGCACCAUUUUCGAAUACUCAGUCGUGAAGGACUAUGGUUCCGUGAAUAUUCGUUGCCUGAAGGUGUAUACACCCUAGUCCCUUCAGCAUUUAGGAGAAGAAUUUACCGGAUAAUGCACUUUAGUUAUCCCAUGCCACCACCACCUGUGCUCGAGCUUAAUGGGGUAUUGCGUAAUCAAUUUGAAGAAUGCUUUGGUGAAGUAUGUGCAUGGAAAGGGUAUCCUUUUGGUGUUCCACCCUAUAGUUCAGUCGAGCGUGUCUGGGUGCGACUGGGGAACGAUGUUUUGAAAGAUGUAUCCCGUCGUGUUGUCUCAGUUGCUUCAUUCAAAGGAUACAAUAGGCUUUUUGCAUGCACAGGCUUGCUUAUAAAGUGGCGUGAAUCCACUGCCGUUCUAACUUCAGCCAGUGUGAUUGGGUGUUGUCAUGAUCACGAUGAAAGUUAUGGACUUUGUAAGGACUUCAUGUGUAAUAGUUGUUAUUAUGAUGAAGAUGGAAUUCGUCAUGGACAGAUGUCGGAGAUUAAGGUGUUCCUCCCUCCAAAUCAACGCGCCAAUGGGACAUUGAAAUUGUACAGUUCAAACUAUAAUAUUGCUAUUAUCAGUCUCGACAAGAAAUUAAUUGGUACUCGUCCAGAAGACAUUUUCAAGGAGAAUUCCACUCGGAAAUCAUCUGGAAAAGUAGUAGCCAUAGGGCGUGAGACUAUACGAGGACUAUUGAUGGCAUCAAUGGGUGAAGUGAAGCCUAGAGACAAGGAUUGCGAACUUGAUUGCAAAGAUCUUAAGCUGUCCACUUGUAAGAUCAAGAAGGCUGGAAUUGGUGGUCCUCUUAUUAAUUUUGAUGGGAGUUUUGUUGGCAUGAACCAUUUUGAUGGAAGGAUGGUAACUCCUUUCCUUCCAAAGAGCAAGAUUGUCCAAGUUUUAAGACAAGGUGUUUCAGUAAGGCGGGAUGACGGUCCUGUGCACUUACGAGAUGCCAGUGAGGGGUCACGGAUAAACAGGUGGCCUGUGCCCCGGCCAUAUUGGUAUCAUGGUCUACUCGAUGCGGAUAGGGAUGAUCAUCUACCCGCCGUGAGUAGAGGAAGGGAAGUGUCAGACAUGCCACUGCUAUUUAUAAUUUGGACUGGUUGUCUAUGUCAAGGAAUGUGA
rnacentral:rRNA from 1 species